rnacentral:rRNA from 1 species
UAGCGGGAGGCCUAACACAUGCAAGCCGAGCGGUAGAGAUUCUUCGGAAUCUUGAGAGCGGCGUACGGGUGCGGAACACGUGUGCAACCUGCCUUUAUCUGGGGGAUAGCCUUUCGAAAGGAAGAUUAAUACCCCAUAACAUUUUGAAUGGCAUCAUUUAAAAUUGAAAACUCCGGUGGAUAGAGAUGGGCACGCGCAAGAUUAGAUAGUUGGUGAGGUAACGGCUCACCAAGUCUACGAUCUUUAGGGGGCCUGAGAGGGUGAUCCCCCACACUGGUACUGAGACACGGACCAGACUCCUACGGGAGGCAGCAGUGAGGAAUAUUGGACAAUGGGUGAGAGCCUGAUCCAGCCAUCCCGCGUGAAGGACGACGGCCCUAUGGGUUGUAAACUUCUUUUGUAUAGGGAUAAACCUACUCUCGUGAGAGUAGCUGAAGGUACUAUACGAAUAAGCACCGGCUAACUCCGUGCCAGCAGCCGCGGUAAUACGGAGGGUGCAAGCGUUAUCCGGAUUUAUUGGGUUUAAAGGGUCCGUAGGCGGAUCUGUAAGUCAGUGGUGAAAUCUCACAGCUUAACUGUGAAACUGCCAUUGAUACUGCAGGUCUUGAGUGUUGUUGAAGUAGCUGGAAUAAGUAGUGUAGCGGUGAAAUGCAUAGAUAUUACUUAGAACACCAAUUGCGAAGGCAGGUUACUAAGCAACAACUGACGCUGAUGGACGAAAGCGUGGGGAGCGAACAGGAUUAGAUACCCUGGUAGUCCACGCCGUAAACGAUGCUAACUCGUUUUUGGAUUUUCGGAUUCAGAGACUAAGCGAAAGUGAUAAGUUAGCCACCUGGGGAGUACGUUCGCAAGAAUGAAACUCAAAGGAAUUGACGGGGGCCCGCACAAGCGGUGGAUUAUGUGGUUUAAUUCGAUGAUACGCGAGGAACCUUACCAAGGCUUAAAUGGGAAAUGACAGGUUUAGAAAUAGACUUUUCUUCGGACAUUUUUCAAGGUGCUGCAUGGUUGUCGUCAGCUCGUGCCGUGAGGUGUUAGGUUAAGUCCUGCAACGAGCGCAACCCCUGUCACUAGUUGCCAUCAUUAAGUUGGGGACUCUAGUGAGACUGCCUACGCAAGUAGAGAGGAAGGUGGGGAUGACGUCAAAUCAUCACGGCCCUUACGCCUUGGGCCACACACGUAAUACAAUGGCCAGUACAGAGGGCAGCUACACGGUGACGUGAUGCAAAUCUCGAAAGCUGGUCUCAGUUCGGAUUGGAGUCUGCAACUCGACUCUAUGAAGCUGGAAUCGCUAGUAAUCGCGCAUCAGCCAUGGCGCGGUGAAUACGUUCCCGGGCCUUGUACACACCGCCCGUCUAGCCAUGGAAGUCUGGGGUACCUGAAGUCGGUGACCGUAACAGGAGCUGCCUAGGGUAAAAC